rnacentral:rRNA from 1 species
UCGGACGGGUGAGUAACGCGUGAGAAUCUGGCCUGGGGUUGGGGACAACCACUGGAAACGGUGGCUAAUACCGAAUAAGCCGAGAGGUGAAAGAUUAAUUGCCCGAGGAAGAGCUCGCGUCUGAUUAGCUAGUUGGUGGGGUAAGAGCCUACCAAGGCAGCGAUCAGUAACUGGUCUGAGAGGAUGUCCAGUCACGCUGGGACUGAGACACGGCCCAGACUCCUACGGGAGGCAGCAGUGGGGAAUUUUCCGCAAUGGGCGAAAGCCUGACGGAGCAAUACCGCGUGAGGGAGGAAGGCUCUUGGGUCGUAAACCUCUUUUCUUAGGGAAGAAGAACUGACGGUACCUAAGGAAUAAGCAUCGGCUAACUCCGUGCCAGCAGCCGCGGUAAUACGGAGGAUGCAAGCGUUAUCCGGAGUGAUUGGGCGUAAAGCGUCCGCAGGUGGCAAAGCAAGUCUGCUGUCAAAGAGUGGGGCUCAACCUCACAAAGGCAGUGGAAACUGCGCAGCUAGAGUGCGGUGGGGGCAGAGGGAAUUCCCAGUGUAGCGGUGAAAUGCGUAGAGAUUGGGAAGAACACCGGUGGCGAAAGCGCUCUGCUAGGCCGCAACUGACGCUCAGGGACGAAAGCUAGGGGAGCGAAUGGGAUUAGAUACCCCAGUAGUC